rnacentral:rRNA from 1 species
AGACGUCUACAUUAGAUACCCCGGUAGUCCCAGCCGUAAACUAUGCGCGUUAGGUGUAUCGGUGACCACGAGUUGCCGAGGUGCCGAAGGGAAACCGUGAAACGUGCCGCCUGGGAAGUACGGUCGCAAGGUUGAACUUAAGGAAUUGGCGGGGAGCACAACAACGGGUGGAGCCUGCGGUUUAAUUGGACUCAACGCCGGACAACUCACCGGGACGACAGCAAUAUGUAGGCCAGGCUGAAGACCUUGCCUGAAUCGCUG